ACAAAUCACACAGCUCAUACCAUCGAGAGUGUUGAGGAUAAUGGCUGUUUCUCACCGCAUUAAUGUUGUGUUUUUUCAUUAGGACCAAAUCUUGAACCAUGCAAGACUCUAUAUUCGUCUUCCCGAGACGUGGAUGAUGCUCAUGCCUAUUCACGCCUCUAAUUACCACUGGACAACCGUUGACAAGUAGCUGUUUAGGAGCUUUUG
rnacentral:misc_RNA from 1 species